rnacentral:rRNA from 1 species
GGAACUGUGAGACAGGUGCUGCAUGGCUGUCGUCAGCUCGUGUUGUGAAAUGUUGGGUUAAGUCCCGCAACGAGCGCAACCCUUAUCCUUUGUUGCCAGCGAUUAGGUCGGGAACUCAAAGGAGACUGCCAGUGAUAAACUGGAGGAAGGUGGGGAUGACGUCAAGUCAUCAUGGCCCUUACGACCAGGGCUACACACGUGCUACAAUGGCGCAUACAAAGAGAAGCGACCUCGCGAGAGCAAGCGGACCUCAUAAAGUGCGUCGUAGUCCGGAUUGGAGUCUGCAACUCGACUCCAUGAAGUCGGAAUCGCUAGUAAUCGUGGAUCAGAAUGCCACGGUGAAUACGUUCCCGGGCCUUGUACACACCGCCCGUCACACCAUGGGAGUGGGUUGCAAAAGAAGUAGGUAGCUUAACCUUCGGGAGGGCGCUUACCACUUUGUGAUUCAUGACUGGGGUGAAGUCGUAACAAGGUAACCGUAGGGGAACCUGCGGUUGGA